GACGAACGCUGGCGGCGUGCUUAACACAUGCAAGUCGAGCGGUAAGGCCCUUUCGGGGGUACACGAGCGGCGAACGGGUGAGUAACACGUGGGUGACCUGCCCUCAGCUCUGGGAUAAGCCUGGGAAACCGGGUCUAAUACCGGAUAUGACUCCAUGACGCAUGUUGUGGGGUGGAAAGCCUUGUGCGGCUGAGGAUGGGCCCGCGGCCUAUCAGCUUGUUGGUGGGGUGAGGCCUACCAAGGCGACGACGGGUAGCCGGCCUGAGAGGGCGACCGGCCACACUGGGACUGAGACACGGCCCAGACUCCUACGGGAGGCAGCGAGUGGGGAAUCUUGCGCAAUGGGCGAAAGCCUGACGCAGCGACGCCGCGUGAGGGAUGACGGCCU
rnacentral:rRNA from 1 species